rnacentral:rRNA from 1 species
ACGGAAGGCAGCAGUGGGGAAUAUUGCACAAUGGGCGAAAGCCUGAUGCAGCGACGCCGCGUGAGCGAAGAAGUAUUUCGGUAUGUAAAGCUCUAUCAGCAGGGAAGAUAAUGACGGUACCUGACUAAGAAGCACCGGCUAAAUACGUGCCAGCAGCCGCGGUAAUACGUAUGGUGCAAGCGUUAUCCGGAUUUACUGGGUGUAAAGGGAGCGUAGGCGGUUUUACAAGUCUGAUGUGAAAGCCCGGGGCUCAACUCCGGUAUUGCAUUGGAAACUGUAGAACUAGAGUGUCGGAGGGGUAAGUGGAAUUCCUAGUGUAGCGGUGAAAUGCGUAGAUAUUAGGAAGAACACCAGUGGCGAAGGCGGUUAGCUGGACAAUAACUGACGCUGAGGCGCGAAAGCGUGGGUAGCAAACAGGAUUAGAUACCCUGGUA